AGUAUAGUGAAAUCUCUGUAAGUGAGUGACUCGUGGCUUAACAGUGAUCUCAGACUGUAAAAGGCGCAACUUGCCUAAGGAGCGAUUCUCAUAAGUGUUCAACUUAUACGCUGUUUAAGUUACAAUAACCAGAGCCAGCCGGUUUCCUAGCAGUGUUUUGUCUACCAACUAUGGUGCGCCUGCUGACAAUGGCGGUUAUUCAUACGACAGAGAUCUGCUGGGAUCUGCCUCCUCCG
rnacentral:misc_RNA from 1 species